CCUACGGGCGGCUGCAGUCGAGAAUCUUCGGCAAUGCGCGCAAGCGUGACCGAGCGACGCCGCGUGCGGGAUGAAGGCCUUCGGGUUGUAAACCGCUGUCGGGGGGGAUGAAAUGCACGGGGGCAAUCCCCUGUGUUUGACAGAGCCCCGGAGGAAGCGCGGGCUAAGUUCGUGCCAGCAGCCGCGGUAAUACGAACUGCGCGAACGUUAUUCGGAUUCACUGGGCUUAAAGGGUGCGUAGGCGGUCUGUUAAGCGGGGUGUGAAAUUUUUCGGCUCAACCGGAAAAGUGCAUUCUGUACUGGCAGACUGGAGUCGGUCAGGGGUGUGUGGAACUGCCAGUGGAGCGGUGAAAUGUGUUGAUAUUGGCAGGAACGCCGGUGGCGAAAGCGACACACUGGGGCCGUACUGACGCUGAGGCACGAAAGCCAGGGGAGCAAACGGGAUUAGAUACCCCGGUAGUC
rnacentral:rRNA from 1 species